CCUACGGGCGACAGCAGUGGGGAAUAUUGGACAAUGGGGGGAACCCUGAUCCAGCGACGCCGCGUGAGUGAAGAAGUAUUUCGGUAUGUAAAGCUCUAUCAGCAGGGAAGAAAGAAAUGACGGUACCUGACUAAGAAGCCCCGGCUAACUACGUGCCAGCAGCCGCGGUAAUACGUAGGGGGCAAGCGUUAUCCGGAUUUACUGGGUGUAAAGGGAGCGUAGACGGCGAUGCAAGUCUGAAGUGAAAGGCGGGGGCCCAACCCCCGGACUGCUUUGGAAACUGUAUGGCUGGAGUGCAGGGGAGGUAAGUGGAAUUCCUAGUGUAGCGGUGAAAUGCGUAGAUAUUAGGAGGAACACCAGUGGCGAAGGCGGCUUACUGGACUGUAACUGACGUUGAGGCUCGAAAGCGUGGGUAUCAAACAGGAUUAGAUACCCUAGUAGUC
rnacentral:rRNA from 1 species